rnacentral:rRNA from 1 species
CCCUACGGGGCGCAGCAGGCGCGAAAACUUCGCACUGUGCGAAAGCACGACGAGGGAAUCCCAAGUGCUAGCUCGUUAGAGUCAGCUGUUUCUCUGUCUAAAAACAGAGAGAGUAAGGGCUGGGUAAGACGGGUGCCAGCCGCCGCGGUAAUACCUGCAGCCCAAGUGGUGACUGUUAUUAUUGGGCCUAAAACGUCCGUAGCCGGUUUAGUAAAUGCCUGGGUAAAUCGUACGGCUUAACCGUACGAAGUCCGGGUAGACUGCUGAACUUGAGAUCGGGAGAGGCUAGAGGUACUCCUGGGGUAGAGGUGAAAUCCUGUAAUCC